GCAUGUUUAUGCACCUGUCCUGAUUGAUUGAGGGGCCUGUCGUUCAGCAGUUGUUGUUCAUUGGUAUUUUCCCGUUUGGAUAUACAUGAUAUAUAAAUUAGAUCGUUGGUUUUCCUGUUCGAAUUGUGUACGCUAAUAAUUUUGGGGUCCUUUAUAGCCUGCUGUUUGGUCUGUAUCAAAGCCCUGUGUAAAAGGCCGUACUUUGACCUGUGUUUGUUAAUAUCAGGUUGAGAACAACCCUCCCUCAGACAAGGGUCAUUUUACUGAUGUAGAAAAGAAAAUAGAAAUACCAAGGAUUUGUAUAGUUCUUCUAUACAAAACCUUUGAAAACUUAGAAUUUUGUACUCAAAAA
rnacentral:lncRNA from 1 species